UGCCUGAGUAGUAUUUGUUAUGUUCCUGAAACUUAAAAAAUUUGGCGGUAUUUUAGUCUAUUCAGAGGAACCUGUCAUAUAAUCGAUAAUCCACGAUGGACCUUUCUUACCCUUGUAUGCAGCUUAUAUACCGUCGUUAGCAGAAUAUUUUUAAAGAAAAACAAUUUUCAAAAAAUUUUUAUAGAUUGUAUAUCAGAUCAAGGUGUAGCUUAUGGGUAAGUAUUGAUGGGUUACAAUAAAUUUAUUUAAACGGAAGAGAUUAUGCAAAAUUCUCUGAAGGUGGAUUUGAUUGUAAAGUUGUAAAGAUAAACAAUUUGAUUUUAGCUCUAUAAUAUGCACACAUCGCCCGUCGCUCUUGCUACUAAGGCAAGAUAAGUCGUAACAUAGUAGACGUACCGGAAGGUGUGUCUAGAAUGUCAACUUGAAGCUUUACUAGAAAAGUUUUUCAUUUACAUUGAAAGGAUUUGUGUGCAAUUCACUGCAGGUUGAAUAAUAUUUUAUUAUUAAUUAAAUUAUUAGUUUGUUAAAGUAUUAAAAAUAAUUUUAAGGACUUUUGUUUUAGUAUCCUCAAGAAAAAAUAAGAUUUAUUAUAGUUUAGUAGUAUUGUCAAAGAAUGGUGAAAUA
rnacentral:rRNA from 1 species